rnacentral:ribozyme from 1 species
CGGUUCCUUCGGCUUUUGGUCCAUUUAUUAGAUAUAUGUUUUAUGUCUUUUCUUGGUAUCUUACUGGAAGUUUGCUCUCAUUUCUCUCUAUA